AGUGAACGCUGGCGGUAGGCCUAACACAUGCAAGUCGAACGGCAGCACAGUAAGAGCUUGCUCUUACGGGUGGCGAGUGGCGGACGGGUGAGGAAUACAUCGGAAUCUACUUUUUCGUGGGGGAUAACGUAGGGAAACUUACGCUAAUACCGCAUACGACCUACGGGUGAAAGCAGGGGAUCUUCGGACCUUGCGCGAUUGAAUGAGCCGAUAUCGGAUUAGCUAGUUGGCGGGGUAAAGGCCCACCAAGGCGACGAUCCGUAGCUGGUCUGAGAGGAUGAUCAGCCACACUGGAACUGAGACACGGUCCAGACUCCUACGGGAGGCAGCAGUGGGGAAUAUUGGACAAUGGGCGCAAGCCUGAUCCAGCCAUACCGCGUGGGUGAAGAAGGCCUUCGGGUUGUAAAGCCCUUUUGUUGGGAAAGAAAAGCAGCAGGUUAAUACCCCGCUGUUCUGACGGUACCCAAAGAAUAAGCACCGGCUAACUUCGUG
rnacentral:rRNA from 1 species